GCCUAACACAUGCAAGUCGAACGGUAACAGAGAAAAGCUUGCUUUUCUGCUGACGAGUGGCGCACGGGUGCGUAACGCGUAUGCAAUCUGCCUUGUACUGGAGUAUAGCCCAGGGAAACUUGGAUUAAUCCUCCAUAGUAUAUAGAAUUGGCAUCAUUUCUAUAUUAAAGGUUACGGUACAAGAUGAGCAUGCGUCCUAUUAGCUAGUAGGUGUGGUAACGGCACACCUAGGCGACGAUAGGUAGGGGUCCUGAGAGGGAGAUCCCCCACACUGGUACUGAGACACGGACCAGACUCCUACGGGAGGCAGCAGUGAGGAAUAUUGGACAAUGGGCGAAAGCCUGAUCCAGCCAUGCCGCG
rnacentral:rRNA from 1 species